GAUGAACGCUCGCGGGAGGCCUAACACAUGCAAGCCGAGCGGUAUUGUUUCUUCGGCCCUGAGAGAGCGGCGUACGGGUGCGUAACACGUGUGCAACCUGCCUUUAUCUGGGGGAUAGCCUUUCGAAAGGAAGAUUAAUACUCCAUAAUAUAUUGAACGGCAUCGUUUAAUAUUGAAAGCUCCGGCGGAUAGAGAUGGGCACGCGCAAGAUUAGCUAGUUGGUGAGGUAACGGCUCACCAAGGCGAUGAUCUUUAGGGGGCCUGAGAGGGUGAUCCCCCACACUGGUACUGAGACACGGACCAGACUCCUACGGGAGGCAGCAGUGAGGAAUAUUGGUCAAUGGGUGCAAGCCUGAACCAGCCAUCCCGCGUGAAGGACGACUGCCCUAUGGGUUGUAAACUUCUUUUGGAUAGGGAUAAACCUACCCUCGAGAGGGUAGCUGAAGGUACUAUACGAAUAAGCACCGGCUAACUCCGUG
rnacentral:rRNA from 1 species